CUCAGUUCGGAUUGUAGUCUGCAACUCGACUACAUGAAGCUGGAAUCGCUAGUAAUCGCGAAUCAGAAUGUCGCGGUGAAUACGUUCCCGGGUCUUGUACACACCGCCCGUCACACCAUGAGAGUCGGGAACACCCGAAGUCCGUAGUCUAACCGCAAGGGGGCGCGGCCGAAGGUGGGUCCGGUAAUUGGGGUGAAGUCGUAACAAGGUAAC
rnacentral:rRNA from 1 species